rnacentral:lncRNA from 1 species
GGAGGUUAAGGUUCAUUUCAAAGCUGAAGACUAAAUAAAUUCAGAACAAGUGAUGGAGAGUAAACCACUGAUGAGGAAGUGAGCAGGAAGUUGAAGCUGUGUUCAUCUCUGAGACUGUCUCAUUUGUGAAUGUGAGAGCAGAGAGUAGAGACUGACAGACAGAGAAGUACGAUGGCUGCAGUCAUGUGGAUUCAAAUGUCUUCAUUCCUGCUGCUGAUGCUUCAGAUUACAGCAGAAACAACACCACAGACUUUGUCCUCCUUCAGAGCUGCCAGAGCUGGACAUGACAUCAUUUUGUCUUGUGAAAAUGUGAUAGAUGGUCAACAUAACUGCAACUAUAGUACCUGGUUAUUCGAUGAUUCAAGAAACACAGCAGUAGAGCUGGUUGUUCAUGGACAGAUUAAAGAAAAUGUUACAGCUGAAUACACCAGACUGAGUGUUACAGCGAACUGUUCUCUGCAUAUAAAGAAGGUCAAAGCUGAAGAUGUUGGUUGUUACACCUGCAGACAGUACAAAACAAGACGAGGACCACAAGAAGGUUCAGACUUUAUGAUUGAUCUGUCUGUUAUUAACAUGACUGAACAUGAGAACAAUGAUAAAGUCAUUGUGAACUGCUCUGUGCUGACACAUGGACACUGUAGACACACAGUGGAGUGGCUGCAUGAGGGUGAAAAGAAAAAAUCAGACGUGGAGAUUAAACCAGGUUCCUGCUCUGUGACUGUGACAUUUAAAAGAUCUCACCGUGAUCAGAAGUCAGAGUUUUAUAAUUCAUUGAAAUGUAAAGUGACAGAUGAUUACACUAAUGAAGAACAACUGUUUCCCUUCAAACUCAAAUCCUCAGGUGAGAAAACAGGUGAGAUUAUCUUCAAAUCACUUCACAGUGAUUAG